rnacentral:piRNA from 1 species
UACACGUGUUCAUCCUGAAAUCCUUCCGGCU